CCAAUAGCGUAUAUUAAAGUUGUUGCAGUUAAAAAGCUCGUAGUUGAAUUUCGGGAUUGGCGCAUCGGUCGUGCCUUACGGGGUAUGAACUGGUGCAGUCAAUUUCUCACCUUCUGGAGAACCGCGAUGUCCUUAAUUGGAUGCCGCGGGGAACCAGGACCUUUACUUUGAAAAAAUUAGAGUGUUUAAAGCAGGCAUUUUUGCUUGAAUACAUUAGCAUGGAAUAAUAAAUUAGGACGGCAUGGUUCUAUUUUGUUGGUUUCUAGGACCACCGUAAUGAUUAAUAGGGAUAGUUGGGGGCAUUAGUAUUCAAUUGUCAGAGGUGAAAUUCUUGGAUUUAUUGAAGACUAACUACUGCGAAAGCAUUUGCCAAGGAUGUUUUCAUUAAUCAAGAACGAAAGUUAGGGGAUCGAAGACGAUCAGAUACCGUCGUAGUCUUAACCAUAAACUAUGCCGACUAGGAAUCAGACGAUGUUAAUUUUUUAAUGACUCGUUUGGCACCUUACG
rnacentral:rRNA from 1 species